UACGAAGGGGGGCUAGCGUUGCUCGGAAUCACUGGGCGUAAAGCGCACGUAGGCGGAUCGAUCAGUCAGGGGUGAAAUCCCAGAGCUCAACUCUGGAACUGCCUUUGAUACUGUCGAUCUAGAGUAUGGAAGAGGUGAGUGGAAUUCCGAGUGUAGAGGUGAAAUUCGUAGAUAUUCGGAGGAACACCAGUGGCGAAGGCGGCUCACUGGUCCAUUACUGACGCUGAGAGUGCGAAAGCGUGGGGAGCAAACAGG
rnacentral:rRNA from 1 species